rnacentral:lncRNA from 1 species
AUGUUCAUGAGUGUGAUCAUAAAACAUUCACUCCGAGAGGAGAAGGGAACACAGUUUGAUUCAGAGUGCAAGUCCCACUGCUUGCUUAUGACUCCAGUUCUGGAUUUGCAGUAUUGCUUGGGUUUGAGCAUACCUGUGGAGAAACUGUCACAGUUGUCCAGACAGGACAAGGAAAGAGGAUGGAAUUUGCACCAAUCAAGAGGGCAGAGCAAGAGGUGGACAGUACAGCAAGUGUUCCUGCUAUUGCUGUAUUGUUGUGUACGUAGCUUGAAUUCAUAACUACCAGUAAUAAAUGUUUAUUUUAAAUAUUUCA